UACGAAGGGGGCUAGCGUUGCUCGGAAUCACUGGGCGUAAAGUGCACGUAGGCGGAUCUUUAAGUCAGGGGUGAAAUCCCAAGGCUCAACCUUGGAACUGCCUUUGAUACUGGGGAUCUCGAGUCCGGAAGAGGUGAGUGGAACUGCGAGUGUAGAGGUGAAAUUCGUAGAUAUUCGCAAGAACACCAGUGGCGAAGGCGGCUCACUGGUCCGGUACUGACGCUGAGGUGCGAAAGCGUGGGGAGCAAACAGG
rnacentral:rRNA from 1 species